rnacentral:rRNA from 1 species
AGCGAUUGAAAAGUUAGUGGCGGACGGGUGAGUAACGCGUGGGUAACCUGCCUUGUACUGGGGGACAACAGUUGGAAACGACUGCUAAUACCGCAUAAGCGCACAGCUUCGCAUGAAGCAGUGUGAAAAACUCCGGUGGUACAAGAUGGACCCGCGUCUGAUUAGCUGGUUGGUGAGGUAACGGCCCACCAAGGCAACGAUCAGUAGCCGGCCUGAGAGGGUGAACGGCCACAUUGGGACUGAGACACGGCCCAAACUCCUACGGGAGGCAGCAGUGGGGAAUAUUGCGCAAUGGGGGAAACCCUGAUGCAGCAACGCCGCGUGAGUGAAGAAGUAUUUCGGUAUGUAAAGCUCUAUCAGCAGGAAAGAAAAUGACGGUACCUGACUAAGAAGCCCCGGCUAACUACGUGCCAGCAGCCGCGGUAAUACGUAGGGGGCAAGCGUUAUCCGGAUUUACUGGGUGUAAAGGGAGCGUAGACGGUUUUGCAAGUCUGAAGUGAAAGCUCGGGGCUUAACCCCGGGACUGCUUUGGAAACUGUAGAACUAGAGUGCAGGAGAGGUAAGUGGAAUUCCUAGUGUAGCGGUGAAAUGCGUAGAUAUUAGGAGGAACACCAGUGGCGAAGGCGGCUUACUGGACUGUAACUGACGUUGAGGCUCGAAAGCGUGGGGAGCAAACAGGAUUAGAUACCCUGGUAGUCCACGCCGUAAACGAUGAUUACUAGGUGUUGGUGGGUAUGACCCAUCGGUGCCGCAGCAAACGCAAUAAGUAAUCCACCUG